UAAAAAGAAGUCAAAGUCUUGAAGGCCAAAGAGGGGAAAGGUUCCAUGUGAACGACACUUGCACAUGGGUUAGUCGAUCCUAAGGGUCGGGGGAACCCCGACAGAUAGCGCAUUUCGCGCGUACUCCAGAAGGGAAUCGGGUUAAAAUUCCUGAACCGGGACGUGGCGGUCGACGGCAACGUUAGGAAGUUCGGAGACGUCGACGAGAGCCUUGGGAAGAGUUAUCUUUUCUGUUUAACAGCUUGCCCACCCUGGAAUCGGCUUAGUCGGAAAUAGGGUCCAGCGGCUGGAAGAGCACCGCACAUCGCGUGGUGUUCGGUGCGCUCCCGGCGGCCCUUGAAAAUCCGGAGGACCGAAUGCCGUCCACGUCCGGUCGUACUCAAAACCGCAUCAGGUCUCCAAGGUGAACAGCCUCUGGUC
rnacentral:ncRNA from 1 species